rnacentral:rRNA from 1 species
AGAGUUUGAUCAUGGCUCAGAUUGAACGCUGGCGGCAUGCCUUACACAUGCAAGUCGAACGGUAACGCGGGGCAACCUGGCGACGAGUGGCGAACGGGUGAGUAAUACAUCGGAACGUGCCCAGUAGUGGGGGAUAGCCCGGCGAAAGCCGGAUUAAUACCGCAUACGACCUACGGGUGAAAGCGGGGGAUCGCAAGACCUCGCGCUAUUGGAGCGGCCGAUGUCAGAUUAGCUAGUUGGUGGGGUAAAAGCCUACCAAGGCGACGAUCUGUAGCUGGUCUGAGAGGACGACCAGCCACACUGGGACUGAGACACGGCCCAGACUCCUACGGGAGGCAGCAGUGGGGAAUUUUGGACAAUGGGGGCAACCCUGAUCCAGCCAUGCCGCGUGCGGGAAGAAGGCCUUCGGGUUGUAAACCGCUUUUGUCAGGGAAGAAACGGUCUGCGCUAAUACCGCGGACUAAUGACGGUACCUGAAGAAUAAGCACCGGCUAACUACGUGCCAGCAGCCGCGGUAAUACGUAGGGUGCAAGCGUUAAUCGGAAUUACUGGGCGUAAAGCGUGCGCAGGCGGCUUUGCAAGACAGAUGUGAAAUCCCCGGGCUCAACCUUGGAAUUGCCUUUGAUACUGGAUGUCUUGAGUUCGGGAGAGGUGAGUGGAAUGCCGAGUGUAGAGGUGAAAUUCGUAGAUAUUCGGCGGAACACCAGUGGCGAAGGCGACUCACUGGCCCGAUACUGACGCUGAGGCGCGAAAGCGUGGGGAGCAAACAGGAUUAGAUACCCCGGUAGUCCAA